rnacentral:rRNA from 1 species
AUUGAACGCUGGCGGCAUGCCUUACACAUGCAAGUCGAACGGCAGCGCGUCCUUCGGGAUGGCGGCGAGUGGCGAACGGGUGAGUAAAGCAUCGGAACGUGCCCGGUAGUGCGGGAUAGCUCGGCGAAAGCCGGAUUAAUACCGCAUGAGAUCCGAGGAUGAAAGCAGGGGACCCGCAAGGGCCUUGCGCUACUGGAGCGGCCGAUGUCAGAUUAGGUAGUUGGUGAGGUAAAGGCUCACCAAGCCUGCGAUCUGUAGCUGGUCUGAGAGGAUGAUCAGCCACAUCGGGACUGAGACACGGCCCGAACUCCUACGGGAGGCAGCAGUGGGGAAUUUUGGACAAUGGGCGCAAGCCUGAUCCAGCCAUGCCGCGUGCAGGAUGAAGGCCUUCGGGUUGUAAACUGCUUUUGUACGGAACGAAAAGCCUCUCUUUAAUAAAUGGGGGUGAUGACGGUACCGUAAGAAUAAGCACCGGCUAACUACGUG